CACAAAUCUUAUAGCCCAUGCAUUAUACUUCAGCUUUGAUGUAUGUUGUUCUAUUUGCUUACAAUACAAUUAACUUUAAUAUUUUUAAAACAGUUCAAUUUUGUUUCAGAAAUAAUUUUGUAUCAUAUUAUAGAUAAUGGGUGGUAAAAAAGAAGCAUCUAAAAAUAGAGUAUAUGAAAAAGAACGCAGAGAUCGUUUGAACGUAAGUUUUGAAGAAUUGCGUACUGUUCUUCCACCAUCAGACUCUAAUGCUUCACUUGGUAAAGCUGAUGUUAUAAAUCAUGCAGUUGACUUUAUCCGUAUUCUACAAAAUGAAAAAUUGAAAAUGACAAAUAUUCAUAGAAAAGAAUUAAUACGUUUACAAAAUAAAAUAUCUCAUCUAUGUACAAGAAUCAAACACUUAAUAUCUGUUUUGAAGGAAUCAAAAAUUGGAAUACCAAAAGAAAAAAUGAUUAAAAAGACAUGUUUGAAAAUUGGAUCAAAGUCAAAACGAAAAAAAGAAUCCAAUGUUCAAAAUAACAAUGUAAAAAAAUUAAAAAAGAAAUCAAAAUUAGCACCAAAAACAAGGCCUAUUUCUUUAACGACCAAACCUGAGAAUAUAACAGUUUUAACAUCAACUAAACCUACAUUUAUUUUACCUAGUGGUCAUUUAAUAAAAAUUGAUACUUCACCAAUUAUACCUCAACCACAAAUAAUAUUUGAUAUACCUAAAAUACUUUUGUUACCUGAUUAUAAAAGUUCAGAAGUAUUAAUUGCCCCCAAAAAAAAUGAUGCAACUGUUACUACAUCGGUUAACAAAAGACCUAUACCAUCACUAGCAACAUAUAAUAGACUUUUAAAAGAAACUAAUUUUUUGAAAGAUAAAGUUGAAAUAGCAAAUGAUACAAAACUUAAAAGAAAAUCUGAAAAUAAAAAUGAAUCAAAUAAAGCACAAAUAGUUGAAAAAAGCAUCAAUGAAAAAGAAAUAGAAGAAAAUAAAAAACAUAAUUGCACGGAACCAGUUAAGUUAAAUGAUAAUAAAAAUACUACAAGUCACACAAUUGAAGCUAUCGUUAAGAACAUUAAUCAAGAUAAAAAUGAAAAAUCUAUUGAUAGAGAAGAAAAUAUCACAAGUGAAAUAAUUUGUGAUGAUUCUAAAAAUGAAUUAAAAUCAGCUGAAACCGAAAAUGUUAGGAAUAAUGAUAAAAUAACAAUUGAUGUUCCAGCAUGUUUAUCUGUUACUCAGACUACAUCAACUGUUGUUAAUUCAUUAACUAUAUUAACAGAAGAAAGUCAAAGAAAAUCAAUGGAAACAGCAAAAAAUAUUAUGUCUUGUUUUGAUGAUAUACGGUUACCUAUACCAAAUACAGAUUUUUCUACUGAUCUGUUUAGUUCUCUUCAAGGACCAGUUGGAGGACAUCAUGCUGAUUCUAUGUCUCCCACUGAAGCUUUUCUUCUUUCCUUUCCACUUGUUUCAACUUCAAAAAACACUAAUAUCCUUAAUGAAACUGAACAAACUGAAUUGCAUUCAGCUACACCAACAACAAUAUUGCAAAUAGGAAACUUGGAAUCUCCAGCUACAGAAUUGUUCCAGAAAAAUAUAAAUGAUUGUGAAAAAGAUCAAAAUAAAGAUAAGAUGAAAGAUCAAUUUGGUUAUAAUGAUAAACCAUAUUAUAAUGAUGGUUACGUAGAUAUCAGUAAAAAGAAUGAUCAAAUGUAUGGUUAUAAAGAGAUUAAAAAAAUUAAGGCUAUACCUCCACCACAACCAACUGCGUCUACUUUUUAUAAAACCACUUAUAAUGAUAUUUCUUCUUAUUAUAAAACAACACAAUCAAAUUCUGAUCUUUGGAGAUAUACUAGUUAUAAUUCGUUUGAUAAAAACCUUAAUAAAAAUAUAAAAAAGACCGAUAAAUCUACUUCUACGGUAUCUGCAAAUAAUGUUCCAUAUGUACCAUAUGAUUUAAAUACAGGUAAUGCAACUACAUACAUUGAUUCUGAAAAUUACCAUGAAGUUUGGCCACAUAAGCCAAAACAAAAAAAGAAACAAAAUGAAAAAAGUGUUCCAGUUAACUGGAUGACAGAUAAAAGCUGUCAAAAUUCUUUUGCAAAAAAAGAUGAUUAUAGUUACCAAAAGAAAAACAAUUUUGAUAUGUCUUUUGAUUUACAGUCGGAACCUAAACAAACAUAUUCAUGGUCGCCAUCCAAAAAUAUACCUUUAUUACCUCAUUUAGAUACUAAUAUGCCUUCAACAUUACCAACUCUUGUGGGAGAUUUAGCUUUGAAUAUUCAUACUGGUUCUAAUACUCCAUUUGAUCAAAGAGUAUAUGAAUGUAACAAAAAAAGUGAUAAUAUAAUUCCUGUUACAAGUAGUGAACAAAACAUGUUCAAUUAUAAAUCUCGUACAGUCAAUUCAAAUUUUCUUUCAGUUAGUCAAUUAGUAGAACAACCAAAAUCUAAUGACAAACGAAAAGGAAAAAAUUGUGCCAAGGAUUAUUGUUGUGUGUAUCAAAAUCAGAAAACAGACAAGGAUUAUUAUCAAAAUCAAACUAAACAAUAUUAUCCUGAGAUAAAUACAUUUGAACAAGAUCAAUCUUGGGUACGAUCAAAAUAUUCACAUGACUCUAGCAGAUCCACUAAUCAUAGUGCUGAAUCAUUAAUUAGGCAUCAACAAAAAAAUGGUUCUAUUAUAAAAUCUAGUUCAAAAAAUCAAAAUAUAAUAAAUAAACAAACUACUUGUUAUAGAACAGGUCAAAAAUCAAGUUAUAAUAACAAUGAAAAUUUUGGAAACUACUAUAAUCAACAUAAUAGUAAUUAUUUAUAUGAUAAUAGAAAUGAAGUAGAUAGACAACCAUCUGGGUAUCAAAUACCAACACAUUUUUAUAAUCCUGUAACAACGACGAAGCAUAAUAUUGCAAAUUACAUUCCUUUGCCAACCACGUUUAGUAUGACAGGUUCCAGUUAUAAUAAACCAGUUCAACAUUUUACUCAAAACACAAACAAUUAUUAUAAUAGUAGCAGUAAUGUGAACACUUUAACCAACUUUAAUCUGAGUACUAUAUUUCCAGAAAUGAUUGAUAAGGAACCAAAUAUUACACCAUUAGAUGUGCCUAGUAAAAACAGUGAAUUUGAUGUUAUGAAUAAUUAUGGAACAAAUUUGCAUUCAUCAUAUUAAGUAUAAAUCAAUUAAGUUCCCUUGAUAUUAUCUUAUGUAAGUGAAUUUAAUGCUGGAUUGAAUUAGUUCAACAUUUUCAAAAUGUUCAAAAUUUCAAUUCGUAUUAAAUUGUUUUAUGUUAAGGAGAAAAAACUUUUGAAAUUUACAUAUAAAUCAACAUACAUCCAAUUUCAAUGAAUACUGUGUCAUAAAAAAUAUGCAUAGUAUAAUAACUAAUAAUUAAGCGAUGGUUUAAUUAUAAAUUCCAGUAUUAUUUAUGAAU